rnacentral:rRNA from 1 species
UCAUUUAAAGAAAGCGUAAUAGCUCACUGGUCGAGUCGGCCUGCGCGGAAGAUGUAACGGGGCUAAACCAUGCACCGAAGCUGCGGCAGCGACACUAUGUGUUGUUGGGUAGGGGAGCGUUCUGUAAGCCUGCGAAGGUGUGCUGUGAGGCAUGCUGGAGGUAUCAGAAGUGCGAAUGCUGACAUAAGUAACGAUAAAGCGGGUGAAAAGCCCGCUCGCCGGAAGACCAAGGGUUCCUGUCCAACGUUAAUCGGGGCAGGGUGAGUCGCACCCUAGGCGAGGCCGAAAGGCGUAGUCGAUGGGAAACAGGUUAAUAUUCCUGUACUUGGUGUUACUGCGAAGGGGGG